rnacentral:rRNA from 1 species
CAAUAGCGUAUAUUUAAGUUGUUGCAGUUAAAAGCUCGUAGUUGGAUUUCGGUUGAGAACGGCCGGUCCGCCGUUUGGUGUGCACUGGCUGGUCUCAACUUCCUGUAGAGGACGCGCUCUGGGUUAACGCUCGGACGCGGAGUCUACGUGGUUACUUUGAAAAAUUAGAGUGUUCAAAGCAGGCAACCGCUCUGAAUACAUUAGCAUGGAAUAAUGGAAUAGGACUACGGUCUCUUUGUUGGUUUGAGGGACUGCAGUAAUGAUUAAUAGGGAUAGUUGGGGGCAUUAGUAUUUAAUUGUCAGAGGUGGAAUUCUCGGAUUUGUUAAAGACUAACUUAUGCGAAAGCAUUUGCCAAGGAUGUUUUCAUUAAUCAAGAACGAAAGUUAGGGGAUCAAAGACGAUCAGAUACCA